UAGUAAAAGUGUCAAUGACUCAACUAACCCGUAACCAAACAUUUGGUUCAUGGCCUUAUGGUUAGGUGAUCUCAACACAUACAACUAGAAAUGAUCAAUUCCAAAAACAAUCCCAAGCAAAUAACCGAAUUGACUAUUUUGACAAUUCUAAUAUCUAAGGUUAUGGAAGAAGUUUGUUUUUACUAAAAGAGAGAGAGAAAUAUAGAAUGGUGUCAAAAACUAACACACCUAACUAGACCCGAUUUUACUUGAAAAUAACCCAAUUUAAAAUUUGAUUUAUAUGGGUACAACGAUUUAGCGUAAUUCAAACCUUAAAUAACCCCUAGCAAAUCCUAACUAGAGUAGGGUGUAAGAGAACAUUCUAUGGGCACUAUUAGAAAAAAAAAAUUUAAAAAAAAAAAAAAAAAACAUUCUAUAGGCACUCUUGGUAUUUUGUGUCUGGGGAUAUACUCUUAGAAGUCUUAGUGCUUGUUUGGUUAGAAGGUAUUUCCCUUGGAAAUGGAAAUUCCUAGGCAAUAGCUAAAAUAUAUUGUGUUUGGUUAGAAAUUUCCAAGAAAUAAAAUUUUCAAGGGGAAUGUAAAUUCCCACAUAGCAUGGGAAAUAACUCACCAAGCCCCCUAGGUGAGUGAAUUCCUAGGAAUAACUAGGAAAUACUAAUUUUCAUGAUGUCAAUCAAACACUUUUAUACAAUUUUUAUGCAAUUAGCAAGGGAAAGGGGGUUACUAAAUCACGUCCAGUAUUUACCGGGUAACGCCCGUAUUUUAAAAUAAACAUACUAAUAUACCCCUCCCUUAAAUAAUCCAUCAAAACUUUUUUUUUUUUUACUUUUACCUUUCUCUCUCUUCACCCUUUUCACCUACCUUUCUCUUUCACCCAAAUUCAACCCCCAAAAUCAACCACCACCACCGGUUACCACCAAAUUCAACCACUAAGAAAACUUUUUUUUUCUUAAUCUUGGUGUCGACGCUACAAGGGAGGCGCAGAUGUUGGGAAAUCGCAAAGACAAGGCAAUCGUCACCGGCGAGCAAAUUGAGGGUUUGGGAACACGACACGCUUUAUCACGGCGCUUGAACACGUUGGUUAAGAGGGAGAGAGACCAUUAUCGUCUUCAGCCUCGUACUGAGACGGCACCAGACCCUGAUGGUUGCAUGGUGAGUUCGACCUCUGAGGCAUAAGAUCAUCAUUCGGGUUCUCAGGGGGUUAGGUCGGGUUUCGAGUCUGAGCAUGAGGAGUCUGAGUCACCGGGCCCCAAGUACUCGUACAGAGGAGGAUAGGGUUUAUCAGGCGAUGACAACGAUGACGAGGAGGAUCCUGAUGACAUUUUUAAUACGUAUAGGGGUGCCGGUGGGAGAUUUGUUAUUAAUACUCAGGAGACUGGUCGUAGUCGGACUCCGGUACAGGAUAGCUGGUUAGUGACUACGCCGAUGGUCGGCGGUCCAGAGGAUGGAAGCAUCAUUCCUAGCUAUGGUGAGAUACUCUCACCCUUAUGUAUCAUCCCCUGACGUACCUCAGGUCAGCGGUCUCCCCGAUAGGACUGACACUGAUUAUUGGGUUGGUCACUUCGUUGAGUUCACACAGCGUGCACUUGUCGAGUCGCAUGGGCCCAUGUCCCGUGAAACUAAGGCCAUGGCUGCACAGGCCCUUCGUGAUUGGGAUGCUAUGCGAGGGUUAUGAUUUGUGUUUAGCUAGACACCUUUAUUCUUAGUUGAACACUUUAAUUAUUGGUUGGACACUUUUAUUAUUUUGUUUUUGUAAUUGUAAUGGGACACUUUUAUUAUUCGUAUGGACAUGAGCACUUUGAUUUAAA